GAUGAACGCUGGCGGCGUGCUUAACACAUGCAAGUCGAACGAAGCACCUGGAUUUGAUUCUUCGGAUGAAGAUCCUUGUGACUGAGUGGCGGACGGGUGAGUAACGCGUGGGUAACCUGCCUCAUACAGGGGGAUAACAGUUAGAAAUGACUGCUAAUACCGCAUAAGACCACAGGGUCGCAUGACCUGGUGGGAAAAACUCCGGUGGUAUGAGAUGGACCCGCGUCUGAUUAGGUAGUUGGUGGGGUAACGGCCUACCAAGCCGACGAUCAGUAGCCGACCUGAGAGGGUGACCGGCCACAUUGGGACUGAGACACGGCCCAAACUCCUACGGGAGGCAGCAGUGGGGAAUAUUGCACAAUGGGGGAAACCCUGAUGCAGCGACGCCGCGUGAGCGAAGAAGUAUUUCGGUAUGUAAAGCUCUAUCAGCAGGGAAGAAAAUGACGGUACCUGACUAAGAAGCACCGGCUAAAUACGUGCCAGCAGCCGCGGUAAUACGUAUGGUGCAAGCGUUAUCCGGAUUUACUGGGUGUAAAGGGAGCGUAGACGGCUGUGUAAGUCUGAAGUGAAAGCCCGGGGCUCAACCCCGGGACUGCUUUGGAAACUAUGCAGCUAGAGUGUCGGAGAGGUAAGUGGAAUUCCCAGUGUAGCGGUGAAAUGCGUAGAUAUUGGGAGGAACACCAGUGGCGAAGGCGGCUUACUGGACGAUGACU
rnacentral:rRNA from 1 species